UUGCGCUUUUAGAUAAUUCCAUGCCGGAUUAGCUAGUUGGUAGAGUAAAAGCCUACCAAGGUUACGAUCCGUAGCUGGUCUGAGAGGAUGAUCAGCCACACUGGGACUGAGAUACGGCCCAGACUCCUACGGGAGGCAGCAGUGGGGAAUAUUGGACAAUGGGGGAAACCCUGAUCCAGUCAUGCCGCGUGUGUGAAGAAGGCCUUUGGGUUGUAAAGCACUUUCAGCGAGGAAGAAAGAUUAUAAAAUAAAAAGUUAUAAGUAUGACGGUACUCGCAGAAGAAGCACCGGCUAACUCCGUGCCAGCAGCCGCGGUAAAACGGAGGGUGCAAGCGUUAAUCAGAAUUACUGGGCGUAAAGGGCAUGUAGGUGGUAUGUUAAGCUUUAUGUGAAAUCCCUAUGCUUAACAUAGGAACUGGAUAAAGAACUGACGAACUAGAGUGCAGAAGAGGAAGGUAGAAUUCCAGGUGUAGCGGUGAAAUGCGUAGAUAUCUGGAGGAAUACCAGUGGCGAAGGCGACCUUCUGGGCUGACACUGACACUGAGAUGCGAAAGCGUGGGGAGCAAACAGGAUUAGAUACCCUGGUAGUCCACGCUGUAAACGAUAUCAACUAGCCGUUUGAUUCUUAAAGAAUUUGGUGGCGUAGCUAACGCGAUAAGUUGAUCGCCUGGGGAGUACGGUCGCAAGGCUAAAACUCAAAUGAAUUGACGGGGGCCCGCACAAGCGGUGGAGCAUGUGGUUUAAUUCGAUGCAACGCGCAG
rnacentral:rRNA from 1 species